UACCUAUUGCAUUGUAGCCUUUCAGUAGUUUAAGACAAUAGGUAUUAGUUCUAAAUACAUUACGCUAGAAUAGAGUUGUAGCCUUUCAAUUUUCUACCAAAAUCCCAUUAACACAUCUAUAGUGUUUUAGCGAGAGAAAGAAAAAGAAAGAGAAAGAUAAAGAGUGAGAGAAAGGAAAAAGAACUUAUAGAUCGAUGUCUCAAAAAGAGGAGAGAGGAGCACACCGGCGAUGACAGAGAUUGUUACUUGCUUGUCACAGUUUCAGAAUGAGUUCAAUAAACAAGUGAAGACAGCCAACGGGUAAAGGGGAAGAGGAGAGGGUGUGUUGAUCAUUUCAAAGACGGCGUCAAUAUUUUCUCUUCAAAUGUCCGAUCCAGUUGAUUACUCCGGCUGUGCCGAUUUUUACUAGUGAGUAAUUAUUUUUAGAUUUUUUUAGCAGACUAACUAUUCUUUAGAAUAUUUUUCUGGUUUACUUAUAUAUUUUUUGUUGACUAAUCGAUUGGUAUCCUAAAUUUUCUGAUUUUUUGUUCAUUGUAUAUUUUCUUAUUUGAUUAUCCAUUUUGUUCAACACAAGGUAGUUCCUAAAUUUUUUCAAAGAUAGUUCCCAAAAAUAUUUCUAUACAUAUUUUAACUAAGUUUAAAAUUUUAGGUGGGUCCUAAUACCAACAUAGUUUCAACAUAAACUUGCCUCUAGUGUCUGGCUACCAGGAACAUGUGGCUCGGAUGAAGACCAUUGAUUUUAUCCUUUUAUGAUGCUUCGUUUAUUUAUUUAUUUAUUAUGGAAACUUAGUUGCUAGUUUUAACUUUAGUAUGUUUAUAACACUCGGAAACCAGGAGGCUAAUUAAGAAAAAAUAUUAUGCAAAUUAAAGGCCAGCUCGUCGAGUCCAAGGGGGAUAACUCGACGAAUAGGAAUAAGUUUGGACGCGGGUUUUACUCAAUCUACUCGACGAGUUGAGAGCCCUCAACUCGGUGAGUAGGUCUGCCAGAGUGAAACCCUAAAUUCAGGGUUUUGCACCCAAUUUAAGCAUCUUAAUCCUCACUUUAUGGUCUCAUUUCCAGCCUCCAAGUCCCAAACCCUAAUCCACGAAACCCUAGAGUCUUGUGUGAGCUUGUGAGCCAUUUUUGAGUGAAAUUUGUGUGAUUUGAAGUUUGUAGAAGAAGAAUAAACUAGAGGUUUCUAGGAGAAGAUUGUAGAUCCAUAAGCAACAUCUCAUCCUCUUCAUGUUCUGGUAAGCAAGCCUCAACCUUUCUAAGUAGCUUGUUAGAUCUCCCUCUUAUCAUUUCAUGGGGUUUUUUGUCUAAGAAGCUUAGUCCUUGGGAUAUGGAUGUCCCAAGUGAUCUACCUUUCAGAUCUGGGUUCUAGAAGGAGUUUCAUGGCAUAAAGGUGCAAACUUUAUGACCAUGGAAGCCCCAUGCAAGCUUUAUGGUGUUAUUGUGGUCUUUUAAGCCCUAAAAGGCCAUGCAUGGAAGGAAAGUUAGGAGCUUUACGUGUUCAAAUGAUGUCUAAGGCAUAUAUCUAUGUUAGUAUGCUUUGGUUUGGAGUAUUAUGGCUUUUGGACCAAGAUCUAUGUCCUAGAGGACUAGGGUUUUAGCUAAACCCAUUAAGAAGGACUAUUAGUGGGUAAAGUUGGAAACUUUACCCUUAAAAGGGAAUUUCCAGUAUGUAGAUGAAACAUGAAGUUUGGAUCUGAAGAGAAGGGGGUUAAUCCUUUAAGAGGGCCGGGACUCGACGAGUUGAGUCGAUUUGUUCCGAUUUUGUACAGCGCGGAACUCGACGAGUUUGAAGAUGGACUCGACGAGUUGACUUAUUCUGUCACGACUAUGGGUAGUGAGGGAACUCGACGAUUCAGGAGGAUGAAUCGACGAGUUGAGUCAAUUUCAAGUGUUGACUUUGACUUUAACUGAACCUUGACUUUGACCAAGGUUAACCAUUAGGGGUUAUGAAGGAUAAAAGGGGUUCAAGAGGGUUGAGUAGAGUCCAUACUUGGACAAUAGUAUGUGAGGGUGGAAUGGUCUUCAACCCCAUUGAUGACCUAUGGUUAAGUUAUAAUAAUCCUAAACUUAUCUAAUUUGUAUGAUGCUCAGUAGUUCGGGGAGUCGAGAGAUCAGUAGUUCGGGGAUUUGCCAGUUAGCAGCCAAAGGUUCAUUCGAGGGAUUCUGCAGUCAGCUUGUGACAUGAAUUUUCUCCUGUAGGAACGGGUCGCGGGCACCAACGUCGGCCUGUGUAGAGUAGCUAAGUGUGGGCUGAGCCCGUAUCUCAUACUUGUUUGUGAUUAGUAGCUAAGUGUGGAUUGGGCCCAUAUCUUAGUAUUAUUUGAGUAUGUUAUGAAUAGGUAGAUUAUGAUAUUCGUAUGUUCCGGACUAAAGUACGAUGCCAGACGGGGCCCGAGGAAGGUUAUAUGUAUGUUUCCGAACUAAUGUUCGAUGUCGGGUGGUACCUAAUGAAGGAAUGCAUGUUUAGUUAUACUUGUUGUCUUUGUGAUACUUGUAUGUGCAUGAUAAGGAAGUGAGUGUGGGCGGGGUCCCGUAUCUCACCACUAGCUAAGAGUGGACCGGGUUCCAUAUCUCAUUAUCAGAAGAGUAGGGGCGGGGUCCAUGAUAGGCGAGGCCUUAGGAAUAGGGUAUAUAGUAUUGUGUAUGAUUCUUUAUGUGCUAGUAUGAUUAUAUAUGAUUGUCUGUAUGUGUAUAGCUGGCGGGGCUUGGUAGAAAUAGAUCUAUAUAUCGAGCGGUUCUUGAUGCCAGGCAGGGCCUGAUGCCGAACUCUUUCCGAUGUCGGUGGGGCCCCAGUUUAUGUGGUUAUGUGAUUAUGUGUAUGGUAUGUGGUAGCUUGGGAAGACUCACUAAGCUUCGUGCUUACAGUUUUCAGUUUUGGUUUCAGGUACUUUCGAUAGCAAGGGGAAGAGCUCGGGAUGACUGCAGUGCACACACCAUCGUUUUAGCGUGGGAUGUUUUUACUCUGAUAUGUUUUGACAUAUGUUUAUGACAUUUGGAGAUACAUGACUUAUGAUUUUUAUAUGAUGAGUUAUUUAUGGGUUAUUUAAUGAUUUAAAAUAAAAUUUUUGGACUGUGAAUUUGGGGAUGUUUCAAUGUUUUGUUUUAUUUAGUUUUAAUUUGUA
rnacentral:lncRNA from 1 species